AUAAAGUACUCUAUCCACACGUAUCUUUGUUAGCAGGGAGAGAAAUCUUUCUGAGAAGACAUCAGCAGACUUCUCCUUUUCAUUGCCCAGAAAUGGAACGUCAGCUCACCCUGAGACCACUCAACAUAUGAAGAAUAUGAGAUAGUCAUAAUUGACUUCAGUCAGUCUUGAUUCAUUUGAGGUGACUGGGUACUACUCUGCAGCCCAAACCAAAUCAGGGCCCUGCUAGCAAGAAAGAAGAGAAUAGUGGGGACCAACAGGGAUUAAAUGCAGUAACAAGAAGGAGCCAAAACAUGGAAGUGCUCCAAAGUUUGAAGAAGAGGGCAGCAGGCCAAC
rnacentral:lncRNA from 10 species